GAACCAGUACCGUGAGGGAAAGGUGAAAAGUACCCCGACAAGGGGAGUGAAAUAGUAUCUGAAACCAAAUGCUUACAAGCAGUCGGAGCAAGCGUAUUUAUAUGUCUUGUGACGGCGUACCUUUUGUAUAAUGGGUCAGCGACUUAGUUUAUCUAGCAAGCUUAAGCCGUUAGGUGUAGGCGCAGGGAAACCGAGUGUUAAUAGCGCGUAUAGUUCGUAGGAUUAGACCCGAAGCCCGGUGAUCUAGCCAUGAGCAGGUUGAAGGUGCGGUAACACGCACUGGAGGACCGAACCCACGUCUGUUGAAAAAGACGGGGAUGACGUGUGGCUAGGGGUGAAAGGCCAAUCAAACUCGGAGAUAGCUGGUUCUCCGCGAAAUCUAUUUAGGUAGAGCGUCGUGUAUUGCUGUCGGGGGUAGAGCACUGGAUGGGCUAGGGGGUCCCAACGACUUACCAAACCUAACCAAACUCCG
rnacentral:rRNA from 13 species